rnacentral:rRNA from 1 species
CAGCAGCCACGGUAAUACGGAGGGCGCGAGCGUUACCCGGAUUUACUGGGCGUAAAGGGCGUGUAGGCGGCCUGGGGCGUCCCAUGUGAAAGGCCACGGCUCAACCGUGGAGGAGCGUGGGAUACGCUCAGGCUAGAGGGUGGGAGAGGGUGGUGGAAUUCUCGGAGUAGCGGUGAAAUGCGCAGAUACCGGGAGGAACGCCGAUGGCGAAGGCAGCCACCUGGUCCACUUCUGACGCUGAGGCGCGAAAGCGUGGGGAGCAAACCGGAUUAGAUACCCGCGUAGUCCCUGUCUCUUAUAC